rfam:Geobacillus sp. BCO2 LR69_contig000022, whole genome shotgun sequence.
CCUAGUGGUGAUAGCGGAAGGGAAACACCCGUUCCCAUCCCGAACACGGAAGUUAAGCCCUCCAGCGCCGAUGGUAGUUGGGGCCAGCGCCCCUGCAAGAGUAGGUCGCUGCUAGGC